rnacentral:pre_miRNA from 1 species
UUUACUAUAGACAGAUCAGGUACAUUGAAUCUAGUUUGAUUUAAUUAGUGAUUUAUGACUGCAUUCAAUGUAUCUAUCUGUCAAUAGUAAA